GAUGAACGCUAGCGGCAGGCUUAAUACAUGCAAGUUGAGGGGCAGCAUGAUAUACGCGAGUAUAUUGAUGGCGACCGGCGGACGGGUGAGUAAUAGGUAGGAGACCUACCUCAUACAGGGGGAUAGCAUAGAGAAAUCUGUGGUAAUACCCCAUGAGGUUAUAUGAAUAGAGGCAUAUAAUCAAAGCAUAAGCGAUUAUGCGGUAUGAGAGGGGCCUACUGACCAUUAGCUAGUUGGUGAGGUAAGGGCUCACCAAGGCGAAGAUGGUUAGGGGUUUUGAGAGAGAGACCCCCCACAUUGGAACUGAGAGACGGUCCAGACUCCUACGGGAGGCAGCAGUAGGGAAUAUUGGGCAAUGGGCGAAAGCCUGACCCAGCCAUGCCGCGUGAAGGAAGACGGCCUUAUGGGUUGUAAACUUCUUUACUACGCGAAUAGAGGUUAGUACGAGAUACUAAUAGGAAGGUAGUGUAGUGAAAAGCACCGGCUAACUCCGUG
rnacentral:rRNA from 1 species